CUCCGGCACGGGACGGUAUCCGUCGUUGGCGCCGAUGGGCGGGCCAGCACUCUGGUGAACGAGCCGCGGAUCGUGUCCACGGUCGGCGU
rnacentral:tRNA from 1 species